CCAGUUGCUGGGGUUAGAGGCGUGUACCUGGCUUUCUUUUAACUUUAGAGAUAGGGACUAAACUUCCAUUUGAGAUCCUCCUGUCUCAGCAUCCCCAAUAACUAGAAUUGCUCGUCUGCCCCACCAUCCCCAGCUGGUGUUACUUGCAUAGUAACAUUCUGUAUCCUCUUGCCUGUUUGAAGUGGUUCUCAGACAGCCAUGCGCUGGAGAACAAGAUGCCUGAUGAAGUCAUUUGUGAAACCUCCAUGCACUGGGUGAGACAUAGUGCUUCAAGGAAGAUAUUUUCUAAGACGGUAUGGAAUGAGCAAAAGGUACAAACUACAAAAAAAGGUUUUGUUCUGUUGUCUGCCUUCCUUCUGUGACUGAAGAUCUUGUGCAUCUAAACCCACCAAAACUCAUCCCAUUCUUACCACCAGUAAGGAACUUAGCCAUGAGCUUUCAAGCCACCUAAUUCUGGUCCUCCAGACAGAAAGAGAACCACUCGGAAGCUUCCAGGAAAUGUUCUUUUUCUCAAAUGAAGGCACCAUGCAGGAAGAGCUACAGUGGGCAAGAGAGCUCCAUGGAGAGGCCCACUGCCUUACUCUGCUGCAGUGGGUGUGCUCUGGUGAGGUGGGGCCCCAAAGACCUCAUCCCAGGACUGCUUCUUGCUGCUGCUGUCUGCACUGCCACACUCCUCAUUUAUUUGGCUUGGUGUGAGUGGACACCAGGAGACCCUCACUGCCUAUAGCAUGGUGUGAUUACUUCCUUGGCUAGCCUAGACCUCACUGUGUAGUGAGGCUGGCCUCAAACUCACAGACAUCUGCCUGCUUCUGCCUGACUCCUUGUCCUGUUUCUAAAUAAGAAGACUUCAUUUAAAUUGACAAGCCAGUGACAUACAUCGAAUGGACCACCUGUCCAUCCUGACCUUUUCUUCUCAACAAAGACUUUACUUUUAGUUAAGGAUUCUGAGGGAAGUUAAAAGAGAGAAAAAACAAUCCACAGAAUAUAAAUACAAAAGUAAAGAGAAGAAAAUCUGUACAGAACAACUAUGAAAACAAGAGAAAACAGUUAAUAAAAGUGCAGUGGCAAAGCCUCUCUAUC
ensembl:lncRNA